UACGGAAGGGGCAAGCGUUGUCCGGAAUUAUUGGGCGUAAAGAGCUCGUAGGCGGUCUGUUGCGUCCGCUGUGAAAACUCGGGGCUUAACCCCGAGCCUGCAGUGGAUACGGGCAGACUAGAGGUAGGUAGGGGAGAAUGGAAUUCCCGGUGUAGCGGUGAAAUGCGCAGAUAUCGGGAGGAACACCGGUGGCGAAGGCGGUUCUCUGGGCCUUACCUGACGCUGAGGAGCGAAAGCGUGGGGAGCGAACAGG
rnacentral:rRNA from 1 species